CGGAACGUGGCGCAGUCUGGUAGCGCACUUGACUGGGGGUCAAGUGGUCGGAGGUUCAAAUCCUCUCGUUCCGACCA
rnacentral:tRNA from 2 species